UACAGAGGGUGCAAACGUUGCUCGGAAUCAUUGGGCGUAAAGCGCACGUAGGCGGCCUAGCAAGUAGGGAGUCGAAAGCCCUCGGCUUAACCGAGGAAGUGCUUUCUAAACUACUAGGCUUGAAUACUGGAGAGGGCCGCGGAAUUCCCGGUGUAGAGGUGAAAUUCGUAGAUAUCGGGAGGAACACCAGUGGCGAAGGCGGGUCUCUGGGCAGUAACUGACG
rnacentral:rRNA from 1 species